UACGGGAGGCAGCAGUGAGGAAUAUUGGUCAAUGGACGCGAGUCUGAACCAGCCAAGUAGCGUGCAGGAUGACGGCCCUAUCGGGUUGUAAACUGCUUUUAUGCGGGAUCAAUGGCAGUCACGUGUGACUGAGAUGUGCGUACCGCAUGAAUAAUGACCGGCUAAUUCCGUGCCAGCAGCCGCGGUAAU
rnacentral:rRNA from 1 species